rnacentral:rRNA from 1 species
UACGUAGGGGGCAAGCGUUGUCCGGAAUCAUUGGGCGUAAAGCGCGCGUAGGCGGCCCGGUAAGUCCGCUGUAAAAGUCCAGGGCUCAACCCUGGAAAGCCGGUGGAUACUGUCGGGCUAGAGUCCGGAAGAGGCGAGUGGAAUUCCUGGUGUAGCGGUGGAAAUGCGCAGAUAUCAGGAGGAACACUGAUGGCGAAGGCAGCUCGCUGGGACGGUACUGACGCUGAGGCGCGAAAGCGUGGGGAGCGAACAGG